GAUGAACGCUGGCGGCGUGCCCAAUACAUGCAAGUCGAGCGAACAGACGAGGAGCUUGCUCCUUUGACGUUAGCGGCGGACGGGUGAGUAACACGUGGGUAACCUACCUAUAAGACUGGGAUAACUUCGGGAAACCGGAGCUAAUACCGGAUAAUAUUUCGAACCGCAUGGUUCGAUAGUGAAAGAUGGCUUUGCUAUCACUUAUAGAUGGACCUGCGCCGUAUUAGCUAGUUGGUAAGGUAACGGCUUACCAAGGCAACGAUACGUAGCCGACCUGAGAGGGUGAUCGGCCACACUGGAACUGAGACACGGUCCAGACUCCUACGGGAGGCAGCAGUAGGGAAUCUUCCGCAAUGGGCGAAAGCCUGACGGAGCAACGCCGCGUGAGUGAUGAAGGUCUUCGGAUCGUAAAACUCUGUUAUUAGGGAAGAACAAACGUGUAAGUAACUGUGCACGUCUUGACGGUACCUAAUCAGAAAGCCACGGCUAACUACGUG
rnacentral:rRNA from 1 species